GAUGAACGCUAGCUACAGGCUUAACACAUGCAAGUCGAGGGGCAUCGAGAGGUUAGCUUGCUAACCUUGUCGGCGACCGGCGCACGGGUGAGUAACGCGUAUCCAACCUUCCCCUUAGUAGGGCAUAGCCCGAUGAAAAUCGGAUUAAGACCCUAUGUUCUUCGUAGAUGGCAUCUGAAAUGAAGCAAAGGUUUACCGCUAAGGGAUGGGGAUGCGUCCGAUUAGGUAGUCGGCGGGGCAACGGCCCACCGAGCCAUCGAUCGGUAGGGGUUCUGAGAGGAAGGUCCCCCACAUUGGAACUGAGACACGGUCCAAACUCC
rnacentral:rRNA from 1 species